AAUAGAUACCCAGGUAGUCCACGCCGUAAACGAUGGAUACUAGCUGUUGGAGGUAUCGACCCCUUCAGUAGCGAAGCUAACGCGUUAAGUAUCCCGCCUGUGGAGUACGGUCGCAAGACUAAAACAUAAAGGAAUUGACGGGGACCCGCACAAGCGGUGGAGCGUGUUCUUUAAUUCGAUGAUAAACGAAGAACCUUACCAGGACUUGACAUCCCGAGAAUUUUGCCGAAAGGCGAGAGUGCUUUAUUGAACUCGGUGACAGGUGCUGCAUGGCCGUCGUCAGCUCGUGUCGUGAGAUGUUUGGUUAAGUCCAUUAACGAGCGCAACCCUUAUGAAUAGUUGGAUUUUUCAUUCAGACUGCCCCGGUAACGGGGAGAAGGAGGGGAUGAUGUCAGGUCAGCAUUGGCCCUUAUGUCCUGGGCUAGAAACGCGCUACAAUGGCUAGUACAAUGCGCAGCGAAGUCGCGAGAUGGAGCAAAUCGCAUCAAAGCUAGUCUCAGUUCGGAUAAGAGGCUGAAACUCGCCUCUU
rnacentral:rRNA from 1 species